UAUCCGGAAUCAUUGGGCGUAAAGCGUCUGUAGGUUGUUUAAUAAGUCUGUUGUUAAAGACUAGGGCUCAACCCUAGAAAAGCAAUGGAAACUACUAGACUUGAGUAUGGCAGGGGUAGAGGGAAUUUCUAGUGUAGCGGUGAAAUGCGUAGAUAUUAGAAAGAACACCAGCGGCGAAAGCGCUCUACUGGACCAUUACUGACACUCAGAGACGAAAGCUAGGGUAGCAAAAGGGAUUAGAUACCCCUGUAGUCCUAGCCGUAAACGAUGGAUACUAGAUGUUGUGUUUAAUAUGCAGUAUCGUAGCUAACGCGUUAAGUAUCCCGCCUGGGGAGUACGCUCGCAAGGGUGAAACUCAAAGGAAUUGACGGGGGCCCGCACAAGCGGUGGAGCAUGUGGUUUAAUUCGAUGCAACGCGAAGAACCUUACCAGGACUUGACAUACUACAAAUUUCUUUGAAAAAAGGAAGUGCCUUCGGGAAUGUAGAUACAGGUGGUGCAUGGCUGUCGUCAGCUCGUGUCGUGAGAUGUUGGGUUAAGUCCCGCAACGAGCGCAACCCUUAUUUUUAGUUACUAAUUAAUUAGGCUUUCUAGAAAGACUGCCGGUGACAAACCGGAGGAAGGUGAGGAUGACGUCAAGUCAGCAUGCCCCUUAUGUCCUGGGCUACACACGUGCUACAAUGGUUAAAACAAAGGGUCGCGAGCUCGUGAGAGUCAGCUAAUCCCAUAAAUUUAGCCUAAGUUCAGAUUGUAGGCUGCAACU
rnacentral:rRNA from 1 species